rnacentral:lncRNA from 10 species
CCCCAGACAAAAGCUCAGGUAUGGAAGCUUGGCUGCUCCUGACCUUUUACAUCCCCAGAACCAAGCUGCAGGGAGGAGGGGACGGCCGCACAAAAGGGUCUGGGGAGUGACCCGGCCUGCCUCAGCUACCUGCUGUUUGCCACAAUGGGACCCGAGUCCCGGGCUGCCUCUGGAGGCAGGAGAAAAGGGCCGAGAUAAUGACGGGCUCAGCUACCGCUGCUCUCUUCAGAGAAAGGAGAAGAGGGAGGAGGCAAAACCUCCCGGAUAAUAAAGAAGUAACAAAUGAGGAAUAAAAGCUUAUGGAAGACAUCUUAACCCAGGGAUGAAAAAAUGUCAACAUCUGUGAGGCUUUCUGCACCAGCAGACCCGGUCCUAAUGAAAACCCUCGAAAAGCCAUUCAUCGGAGCAGAGGCAAAAAGGCUACAUUUUUCUAUGGGGCAUCGAGGGCUCGAGGAGGCCACCGUUUCCCUUUCGGAUGCUGCUGAACCAAGCACUAAUGUUCAUCUCCAGCUUUAUUAAGGAACCCGGGCAGGAGGAGAAUGGAGUGCCGGGACCAUCGUUAUCCCAAAGUCUGUGAGGCCCCCUCUACUGAGAGGAGAACACAGCCCACCUAGACGAAGUGCAGCAGACACCUCUGGUCCUUUUCUCUUCACCAUGCCUAAUGUACCAGGGAUCGGGGCGUCAUAACCACAGACCUGGAACCUUGAGAGUCACUGGAUCAAACUCCUUGUGGUGGCUCUGAAGAUGUGUCUACAAAUUCAUUGACACUACACCCCUCAAGAGGCGGAGCUUAAUUAUCCUCUUCUUGAGUGUGGACUGGAGUUGGUGACUAGUCCACUAGAGACUAGAAUAUGGCAGAAAUGAUGGAUGUCACUUGGAAAUAGUCACUUGGAUAAUUCCGAAAUUAGAUUAUGGAAAGGCAGUAGCUUCUGUCUUGGGUUCUCCAUCUGUCUCUGUCUCUGUCUCUGUCUCUGUCUCUGUCUCUGUCUCUUUCAUCACUUGCUCUGGGGAAAGCCAGUUUCCAUGUCAUGAGGCAACCUAGGGGGAGGCCUCUGUCAUAAGAAACUGAGGCCUGCCAACAACCACAUGCAGGAGCUUGGAAAUGGAUCUUCUGAGUCUGCCAACAGCCAUGCGUGUGAUCCUGGAAGCUGAUCUUCCCCCACUGUAACCUCGGGCUGACUGUGGCCCCAGAGCACAUCUUGACUGCAGCCUCAUAAGAGAUCUUGUGCCAGAACCACCCAACUCAGCCACUCCCAGAUUCCUAACCCCAAGAAACUGUGAGAUGGUAGAUGUUUGUCGCUUUAAGCUGCCGCAUUUGGGGGCCAUCGUGAUGCAGCAACAGAUCACUCAUGCCCUCCUGUACUAUGCAGUUGGGAGAAGCGAGGGCCUGCUGGGGAAAGUCACUUCCCAAUUUCACAAAGGACAAGUGAGUGCUUGAAAUUAACUCAAAUAUUUUGACUUCUUGUCUAGUGCUCUUUCCACUACAUCAGACUUCCUCUCACUCCCAUUUCCCACAAAUAAACCAGAAGAAUUGAAUUUGGCAAACCUCUGCCUGCUUGUGAGCGCAGAUUUUUCUGGUAUGAGCGGGAUGGACAUAGCAGGGGACGCAGUGAUGACAGAGAAUUG